CUUUUAGCCUCUCAUCGUCUAACUUGCACCUUUUUGUUUUGCCAAAUCAUUUCACUUGGUAAUUACGCAUUAAAAAUAGUUUACUUUUUUGGUUAACUUUAAUCAUUCAAUCAUUUAAUCUUUAAUCAUAAUUUAAUUUAUCAUUAAACCUUGUUAAAGUUUUGACCUGAAUGGACCCAUUAAUCAAAUGUGCUCUAAUAGAAACCCAUCAAAUCCUAAAUUCUUUGGAAAAAUUCAUGAUAAAAAGCCGUUACAAUUGUCCAGGCUCAUUGUUGACAUCCUAACAUUGCAGCUUCAUCUUGUGUUGACCGUUUUUUUUACCAGAACCUUGUUUUUAAUUUCAUCUCUUUUUGUUGACCAUUGUCUUUAACACAGAUGAGGAUCAUGUCCAUCUGAUGAUGUUUAACAUUAGCAGGAAAACCAAAGACCAACACCAUUAACACUUGCCCUGAUUACUCUGUGUAAAUUGUUCCUUUUUUUGGAAUUAUCUUUGUCUUAAUAUUUACAUGCAACAAAGAUCACCGUUUGUUGUCUUUUCUUUUUCUAUCUUUACUCAGCUGAUUGCAUUCCAAGUGAAUUAUCUUGUCCAGGGAACAAGAAGGAAAAGGUGAACACUUUGAUUUUCUUCCUGAUGUUGGCCCAGAAAGUUGAAGUAAAAGACAAAAAGUUAAAACAGUUGUCACCUUUAAAGUUACAGGUGUCUUAAUCUGAGCAAAAAAUCUUAACAAUCUCAGCAUUUAUAUCAUCCUGAUCUCGGAUUCCAGGAACAUCAUUUGAAUUGAUAAGUUUGCAAUCUUAUGAAGCUAUUUUGGCAAUUGAAUAUUAAUAAACCAUUUUGGUCUGGACCAGCUUUUAAA